AACGAACGCUGGCGGCAUGCCUAACACAUGCCAGUCGAACGAGACCUUCGGGUCUAGUGGCGCACGGGUGCGUAACGCGUGGGAACCUGCCCUUAGGUUCGGAAUAACUCCCCGAAAGGGGUGCUAAUACCGGAUAAUUUCUUCGGACCAAAGAUUUAUCGCCUUUGGAUGGGCCCGCGUUGGAUUAGCUAGUUGGUAGGGUAAAAGCCUACCAAGGCGACGAUCCAUAGCUGGUCUGAGAGGAUGAUCAGCCACACUGGGACUGAGACACGGCCCAGACUCCUACGGGAGGCAGCAGUGGGGAAUAUUGGACAAUGGGCGAAAGCCUGAUCCAGCAAUGCCGCGUGAGUGAUGAAGGCCUUAGGGUUGUAAAGCUCUUUUACCCGGGAUGAUAAUGACAGUACCGGGAGAAUAAGCACCGGCUAACUCCGUG
rnacentral:rRNA from 1 species